rnacentral:lncRNA from 1 species
GAAUUGCACCCAAUCCUACGGAUUGUUGUGGUAGCCCUAGGGUAGUGACAGCCCUAACGGUCGACGUAUUCCACCACGUUCGGAUCGGUGUUUGUAGGACCGUAGUCAGACCUUUCUAGCCCCCUUCUCAUCUCUUUCUGUGGUUAGUGCUCUGAUGUCCCGAUAUAAAUAAUCUUGAAGUAAUUCUUGAUUCUUAGAUCAACUAGAGAACUCUCAGGAAACUUCCUCUCUUCCCACCAAAAAUAAUUAUAUAGCUAUCCUUGGGCGAUCUUGGAUCUUAAUUAGUACACUCACGUUCCCUGUGGAAAAUCGAUACUCUAGAAUACUCCCGGGUGAAGGCUACAUCGGUAUCUGUGCGCUUGCGGAUUUUUCUGUUUGCGUUUAAAAUACCCAAGACCAAACUCUAAACUUUUAGUCCCA